UCUCCUCACCAGCAUUGAGAGAAUUUUUCUCUUUUUGCUUCGAAUUUCUUUCAAAUAUUCCGUGAACAAAAAAGAAAGAAAAUCGUUUCCACGAAAAAAAAAAAAAAAAAACCCUAAGCUGCCGCAAAAACAAAAAAAACUCCGUUUACGAUUCUCUUUUCCACAACCUUCAUCCUCUUUGAGAAGUUUAACAGAAUCUAUCCAACCUUCAUCCUCAAAGAAAAAAAACUCUUAACACACUAUUUCACUGAGUAACGAUAUCAAGUUCAAAAUCUUCAUGUGGCAAACCUAGGGUUUUAUUAAUCCUAUAAGUGUUUGAAGUAGAAGUUGUUCGAGCAAUCCAAGGGUUUUAUUAAUCCCAAACGAUAUCUUCAUUAUCAUUAUUAAGCAAAGACUGAAACCAUUUUUUUUUUGUAGGUUAGGGCUAGGGUUCUCUGAUGCAGGGACGGACCUAAGAAAGAUAAAUUUCCUUUUAAGACCCGGGCUAAAAGCCUUGGUCCAUCAAAAAAAAAAAAGAAAUUAGCUGUAGGUCCGUCAUUGCUCUCAUGGUUGCAAAGACGAAGAAGCAGCAAGUUCCGUUUUUGUUGUCAUAUUAAUCUUAUUUUUUCGUCAUUAGAAUCAUCUCUAUUUUGAUUACUUCCUAACUGAAACCACUUUUUGUGUUUUUAUUUUGUAGGUUAGAGCUUACUUCCUCUUAAAAGGGUAGCAUCAAUGGUUAUCUAUUUUUUAUUUCAGUGGAUAAGAUAUUUAACAAAUCAUAUAAUCAUACAUAACCGGUUCAUUAAUUCAGGAACAACAUAAUUAAUAUUUGCAACUAUUACUAUCUAACUGCUUCAUAUUCAAGGUUUGAAUUUUAUUCUGUAUGGAAUGAUUUUACAUGAGAGUAAUACAUGGGUCCAGUCACAUAGGAGAAUUCUGUGUGGAAUUAUCAUAUUUUUAUGUUUUAUUUGAUUUUUGAGUUAGCUUUCUACAUUGUUUAGUUAGCUCAGGUAUAUGAAAAACUCUGUCAUGAUGCAUAGCGGUGGCAAUAAGCUUAUGGCAGAGUGAUAAUUUCAGUAAUGCAUGGAUAUCAGUUCCCCUUCAAGAAAAGUUAGCAGUCCUUCAAGUCAUAGAUUAAAUUGCUUGGUUUAUUAAAAUACAAUAAUUUGUGACACCGAUUCGUAUUAUUUUUAUUAUUGAUUUGCAGCCCAUGACUCCAAUUGACCGUGUUAUUCAGGUGAAGGGUCAUAUCCAAAAGCUGAAACAAUUGAAGUGUCAUGGUAACUAAAUUAUUAAUGGUAUGAAACGACUCUUCUUUCAUCUUCAAGGUUGCAUAUUAUGGCUGCUUGAUGGCGUGAAGCUAUAAUAGGGUGCUACUAGAAAGACUGAAGGGAUAGUUGCUACUAGAAAUACUGAAGAUGAUUCCUCCCUAGACUAAUCAUUCUGCAUACAAUUUGUCUUUCAAAAUCAAGAUGCAAAAGACUAUAAAAAUUCUAAUCAGAAGCGUUAGGAGUUGCUGCUUUUCAUCAAGGCUUAACAAGUUGGUCGUAGUUGUUCAGGAGGAAUUCGGAACCUAUGAAUAUGCAAGACGGUGUACAUUCGAGUAUCAUUGUUAAUGAUUGAACUCUUCAUACUUGGUGAAACGAUAUGCAUGUGAUCUCCUUUAAAAGAUGGAGGCGUAUGGGGUCACCUUCAUCAUUACAUCAAGUCACUUGCAUGUGUACACCCGGAACAGAGUGCGCUAUUAAUUAUUGGUGACAUUUAGUAGUGAAUGUACUUUCCACCAUGGAUACAAGAAGUCUAAUCAUUGUGAAGUUAAUAAUUGCACAUGGAUACUGACCGUAAAGGAAUUUCAUGUAAUGCAUAGCUGUUUUAUUUGCUUUGAAUUUCAUGGGCAGUAAACUCAUCUUUCAAGGAAUUUCAUGGGCAGUAAACUGGGGAGAGGCUGUUUUAUUUGCUUUGUCAGAUGGUUGCAACCAUUUAAUAGUCACUAAAGAUGGUACAAGUUGAAAUAGCUCCAGAGGUUAUCGAACGUAGCUUUAGUGGGCACAUUAAAGUGAUAGUCCAAAAUAAAUAAGAAUUAUAGGUCGCUAUUUCAUCGAACUUUCCAAGAUGAAAAUGAGAAGCCAAGUGGGAUAUGUGGCAUGUGAUCUACAAUGUACAAGUGUAUUUCAGUAAAGUCAAAUUUAGAGAUAGCCAUAAUAUUUUUCUAAUUUUACAUGCUAAAAUAUGUGUUUCUGUCUCUUAAACUCUACGACUGAAACUAUUGAUGGUGCCAUUCUCUAGAGACAGUGGAGCUGUGAUAUUCGUCUACCUGAAUUUAAAGGUGGGUUGAAAAAUUUUAUCAGGAUUUUGAUCUUUGAUACAGAAAAAUACUGAAGAAUACAUAAUUUUCCCCGUUUUUCUAUGUAUAACAGUGUUAGUGACAUUCGUCCAUUUUUGGAUUUUGAUCCAUUUAACACGACGCCUUACCGUAUGUAUUCUCAUUGACAUGGUAUAUGGCUGAAAGUGUAGCCAUUCAAAAAAGUCAUCGAACUGAUCACUGCAAUUUUAUUCAUUGCAUUUGAAUAC